rnacentral:RNase_MRP_RNA from 1 species
GUCAAAGCAUUCGUUUCGGAGCAGUACAAACGAAGCACUUGUUUCUAACGAGUUGCUUAAUGAAUAAUUGGCUCUGGGAGAAAGUCCCCGGACACUCGGGUAGAAAGUACCAUGCCUUGAAUCUGGGAGCCGUCAUUGGCUUCCGUGGGCAGGACCCUCCUUUUGGUUUUGAUGCGUAUGGGGCUCUUCACGACUUGUCAUUAUGUAUCAUGAUAAUGACAAGUUUCCAUUGCGUUGGGAGUCUCUGUCGCCUCAUGUUCAUUUUCAUGGAAGUGCCGAUACCUGCGGGGUUGACUUGCAAGUGGAGCUUCCGUAUGGGCGUGUUGGCGACCGCUCGGAGCUGCUCGUCAUAGCUUGGUCCUCUUGGGGAUCACUAAAAACAGUAAUCGAAUGAAUGCAUGAAUGAAUGCAUGAACAGAAUGGGGAUUACUCUUGGC